GUAGCUGGCUGAGUUAGUCCCUUGUUAAAUCCACCGAAUUAAUCGUUGGAUUGCGGGGGAUACUGCUCGGCUAGGGGACGAGAGAGGCAGACGGUAUUUCUGGGGUAGGGGUGAAAUCCUAUAAUCCCAGGAGGACCACCAGUGGCGAAGGCUGUCUGCUAGAACGCGCCCGACGGCGAGGGAUGAAAGCUGGGGGAGCGAACCGGAUUAGAUACCCGGGUAGUCCCAGCUGUAAACGAUGCAGACUAGGUGUUUGGACGGCCACGUGCCGUUCUAGUGCCGCA
rnacentral:rRNA from 1 species